AUUGAACGCUGGCGGCAGGCCUAACACAUGCAAGUCGAGCGGAGCGGCGGACGGGUGAGUCAUGCCUAGGAAUCUGCCUGGUAGUGGGGGAUAACGUCCGGAAACGGGCGCUAAUACCGCAUACUAUCAGAUGAGCCUAGGUCGGAUUAGCUAGUUGGUGGGGUAAAGGCAUACCAAGGCUACGAUCCGUAACUGGUCUGAGAGGAUGAUCAGUCACACUGUAACGGAGCAACGGUCCAGACUCCUACGGUAGGCAGCAGUGGGGAAUAUUGGACAAUGGGCGAAAGCCUGAUCCAGCCAUGCCGCGGGUGUGAAGAAGGUCUUCGGAUUGUAAAGCUCUUUAAGUUGGGAGGCGUUACCAACAGAAUAAGCACCGGCUAACUUCGUGCCAGCCGCCGCGGUAAUAC
rnacentral:rRNA from 1 species